CUUGCCGGGUGGCGGAAGCACUGUGAACCCCGUCAGGUCCGAAAGGAAGCAGCGGCAGCAGCCGCUUCCGGGUGCCCGGCAUCUUA
rnacentral:SRP_RNA from 1 species